UAAAAAUUAAAUUAUUUAAAAUUAACUAAGUUAAAGGAGUUAAAAGUUUAUUAAUUUUAUUAUUUAACUUUGAAUUUUUAAUUACCAAUCCUGCAAAUAAGUUACGAGAGUUUGUAAUGCAAUGUGAUGUAAAUAGAUCUCCCUAAAAGUCGCUGAUCAAGAGACGUGGUAGUCUUGCGCCAAAUAACGCACAGCAUUACCCGAAGGUUCAUGUGCACGUCGUCAGUUAAAGCCCCAUUCGGGUUGAUGACCGUGCAAGGCGCACACGUGCGCGUCGUCUGGGUCGUCUCCCCAUACAACAGCGCCGACUUGGCCGCUCGGUCACUCAUCCGAUUCAUACUAACCGAGACGCACGUGUGUAGUACGCCGUGCCGUACGGGUUGUUGACGUGUCGACGUCACGCAAGGUCAACGUACGCAGACGCCACGCGCCACGCAUUACGCUGCGCGUGAUGUCACCCUUCUCCCCACUCUCUUCGUAAAGAGGGAUCGCGACGACUCGGCCGCUCGACUAUCUCCGUCGCAGUACGGCAAUAGUCGCCGAGCGCUGGCGGCGCAGGCGCUGUCGUCGCCAUCACUCCGUUCACUCCGGCUCGCAUUACUUGUGUCGUGCCGCUAACUGGACGUACGACGUAUUGGUUCCGUGUUUUUCGUACGUUCUAAGUUUUGAUUGUGCGCGAAUAAAUGCCGAUGUAAUAACGGACGGUUACUCCGAUACGCAGUCGUACGUGGAAGUGAUCAUAUUCGUUUACGAAGCGUAGGCAUCGUGUGACUGUCGCGUGGCUUCGUCAAGAUUUCACGUGUACGUGUUUGCUCGGAAACGUGCAAUGAAACAUCGCGAAUGCCGCGUGAAACGUCGUGUUAGAUAUGUACAAAAUCGGGAGUGAGUGUGUUUCGUUUCUACGCAUCAUGUUUGUAUUCGGACGACUCUCGUUAUUGUCUCGACCGAUGUGUCGCGUCGAGCGGCCGCUCGUAUCUUCUUGUCCCGUCAUGUUUACUGUUGUUCAGUCGAGUGUAUCAUACUUUUCGCGUUCUCGAAAGUUAUAUUCGUUACUUACGAAUGUAGCAGCGGACGAUUAUAACACACGGUCGUGUAGCACGAUGCGUAGAAACAAUUGCAUUCCAAGUUCCGUUAGCAUUUAUUGCAUCGCGACAAGGUUCUCGCCAAUUCUUGCGUGUGCUUUGCGUCUUAUUUAUGCUCGCAUGUGGUGUGUUAAACCGCUAUUACAUUUAUCGUACGGUUCGAGGAGAGCAGCAAACGAAAACACGAUAUCUGUGGAACAAUUUGAGGGGGUAAGUAUAUUAUUUUAUUAACAUAUCUUUUUGUUUCCUGCGAUUAUAUUUUCACUUUAGUUCAGUAAAAAUAGUAAAGUAUUUGUAAAGCCACUUAUGUAAAAUUUAUAAAAUAUAAUGUACAAUAUUUAUAUGUGAAAAGAGUCAAGAGAUUAUAGUAUUGUUUGCUUCGUCUUCUGGGUCUACUUAUGUAAAAUUUAUAAAAUAUAAUGUACAAUAUUUAUAUGUGAAAAGAGUCAAGAGAUUAUAGUAUUGUUUGCUUCGUCUUCUGGGUCUACUAGGUUUACCUCGUUUACUUCCUGUUCUACGAUUUUCUUCCAGAGUUUCUCUAUCUUAACUUAGAGAUAGCCAGGUCUGCUACGAGUAGAUCUAGAACAGACAAAACAAACAAUACUGUAAUAUCACAAAUUGAAUUGAUCCCUAAUUUAAUAACGAUGCUACGAGCACCUUAAAAAGUUGUAAAUAUUGUAACUAUUAUGAAAAUUCUUUAUAUUUAUAUAAUAAUCCAUGUUUAUUACAUUUUUAGAAUCAACAGGAAAGGACAGUAGCAGCAGCAGUGACAGUAACAAGUGGUAAUUAGUGCGCGCUCACUCGUGGAAUCGCGUUUUCGCGUGUGUGUGUGUGAGGGAAAGCAGCCACGUAGGAUUCCAAGAGAAGAAACCCCGGCCUGGAUAAUGUCGAACGACGGCGGAGCGACCAUGGGGACGGCGGGGGUAUCAGUUUCGCUGAGUAACUCGGCAAGAGAAGAAAAAUCGACAAUCAAGAGCUGAGAGGAGGAGGAGGCCUGGGAAAGGCAUCGGGCCCCAGCGGAGCAACCUUGGGUAAUCACCGUAGCUUCGUGGCUGAAUAACUCCGCUCGUUGCGCAUCGGGUUGGUG